GUACAAACAGAAUGGAUCUGGUAUGCGCUGCCUUGUCAAGGUUGAAAAGAGUAAUAAAGUUUUCCGUCUUUGUUCGUACCACAGAGCCUUCUCGUCCUCAUUCAUUCUUUUCCUUCUGCGUGAAAGUACUCGUGACAAAACAACAGUUCAAAAUAAUUCAAUUGACUUCAAAAAUGUUGUCGGAGGCGCAGUAUUACGACUUAACGCCGGCUCCAGACUAUGACGACUACAGCGCCACCUUCGAGUACAGCUUAUACAGUAACACCAGCAGCGAUGACUUGGAAAAGUUCAUCGAGCAGUUCAUCGACCCGGAGGAAGAGGACACGGAGGACACGGGGUCGCAGCGGGAGGAAGAGGAUGUGACUGUUACCACGGCUAUGACCCGAGUAACCACAGAGCAGGACGGAGUCUACGGUCGUAACGCCGCAUCACUUCCUGUUUCUCUGGAAAUCACGACGCUCAUCUGGACUUUGAUGAUCCUGAUCAGCCUGAACGUGCAGCAGCUGCAACAAACACUGUGAGACACACACACAGUCAGCAGCUGGCAGUCGGUCCUGCAGGUCACCUGAUCUGAGGGGUGGUCGCUGUCCCCCGUGACCUUUGACCUCUGCAGAGAGGAGCCACAGCUUCCCUCAGCGUGGGCUCACAGGUGGACCUCAGCCAAUCACAGAGCUUUACCUGCACCACAGUUUACAAACUCUUCUUAUAAAACUUUAGCACAUUUUUCACUGUUUUAUUUGAACGUGUGAACAAACAGAACCGAGAUCUGCUCGGUGACAUUUAAUGUAAUUAUGUACGAAUAUGUUUAUUAAUGUCAAAACUACGGUGGCCAGUGAGGGAAACAAAUGACUUAAAUACCGACGAGAAAAAGGUUUUGCCAAGACACAUUUUCUUCCUUUGUUUUUGCUGCAAUGGAAAAAGUGAAUUAGGAGGUGAAGUGUUGGACGCUUUCACCAGAGGCUGACGUGCAGCACGACACAUGUUGUAAACACGGACACACUUCUCACCUUCAGUCAUCAACACAGGCUGUGGAGGGGGCGGGGCUUACCUCCAGGUGGAGAAACAACCUGCUGCUCUGUUGUGUUAGUCGUGUCGGGCUCUGUAGCCCGUCACACGCCGGGCGAAGUAUUCCGGUUUACUGCAGCGGUAUGAACCCAAAAGGACCAGAUUUAUUUAAUAAACAUAUCAAAAGAAUUCUGAAAUAACGACAUAAUUAGUAAUAAAUCUGAACUAAUGCUUUGUCUUUUAAAAUGCUUGUUUUCUGAAUGAUUUUUUCAACGAGUCUACACUUCAUUUGUGUCGCGUCAUUCAAGUUAUUUGCAUCUUUGCAUCUUUGCAUCUUUGCAUUGACUUUAGACGUAAUCGCUGCCGGUGUGAACGCAGCGUUAGAAGAUAGAUCGUCAUCUUAUGUAACAUCAUGUAACAUCUAUCUUAUCGUAUGAAACACUUCAGGGUUAUGAAUAAAAUCCGACUUUAGUGAGAUGCAUAAACAGAAAAACUCAUUUACAAAGAAUAAAACAACAAAGUAAAUGUAAAGAUUAAGUCAAUAAUACUUGUUAUACAUCAUGUUUAGUUUUUGACCUUAAUGAGCUUCCAUACCUGCUCCAUAAAUGGACCUCAGAGAGGAAGUGAGCGUAUUUACAAAUUAAUUAAUGAAGCUAAACUUCAGCGUGCCGUGGAGCAGCAGCGCCCCCUGGUGUUGCACCUUAUAUUCAAUAUAUCACAUUUCUUUUUUAUUUCUUCCUCUGAACUGUUUCACGUUUAAUCUGUAAAAACAUUUUGCAGCUUUGCACUUUGUACACACAGCACUUAUCAGUUUCAUCUGUUGAGUUCUGAGAGAAGUUCAAUAAUAAUUCAUUAAACCAGUUUUAACUCUGCACACGGAAAAAACAUUUGUUCUGUGUUGAUAAAAUGUUUAAAACAUUUAAAGGAUGUUUCUCUGCAGACAAAGACUGUAAAGUAUAUAAUAUACAUUAAAACAUGUUUUAUAUAAGAACAGGAAACUUCCAGAACAAAAUAGAAACAUGUUGUUUGAUUGUUUUGUUUUGCAAUAAAAAUUCAUGAAAAGUUAUUAACAGCUUCUUGUUUUGUUUUUUUAACACUUUUUUUUUAUUGUUUUUUAACAUAUGUAGACACUACAUAAGACAGGACACAAACUUCCACAUCCAAGACAUAACAAAAUGAAGUACAUUAACAGUCGCACACAUAACAUAAUUAAA
ensembl:lncRNA